UAACACUCAAGUUAGUGAUUUUUGCUCACGAGAGCCCACAUAGAUGUCUUACUGUCAUAUAUUUACUAACUAUUUUUUCUACAUGAUGGCAGCCGGCUAGCUUACAAUAAACUCACUGGUGAAAUACCUCCUCAGUUUGGUAACCUCUCUCGCUUGACAAGUUUAGAUUUGGAAGACAACCUAUUGGUUGGGCCAAUACCAGCAGCAGCAGCAGCGGUCAAUCCCGGCGCCUCGAAUCAACCGGCGCGGUCGUCCACCUACGCCUUCACGCGCGCGGCAGCGGCGGCGGAGAGGAAGGUGAUGGGGAGGCGGGAGGCAGCGUGAGCCUGCGAACCUCGGGGGCGCGGCGGCGAGCGAGACCUGCCUGAGACUGACGGAGGUGGGUGCGCUCUCUCUCUCUCUCUCUCUCUCUCUCUCUCUCUCUGAGAGUGUGUUCGUUCGUUCGUUCGUUUCUGGAAGCUUUGUAAUGAAUCAUUAACAAAAUAGUCGGGCCUCUUACUCGAUUCUAACUCGCUUUCCGUUUUCCUGUCGAACACUCGAAUUUAUACUAGCUCUGUGCACGCUUGCGUCGGCUGGGAUUCAGUUAUGCGCUCGCUAGUCUCUGGUAACGUUCAAUCCGUUCCUGAUUAUCUCCGUGGUUAAUUUCGCGAAAUUAACUUCUCGAACAUCAUUUCAACAGCUUGCUAUGCCCGUGCUUUCUAGGCAUCAAAAUUCGGUUCCAAUAUGUUGGAAGUUGGGAAUUCGUUGGCUACAUGCCCAGAGAUUUUGGGACCAUCUCAGGGUUAGCUACCUGGCUGGUUGGGCUAGAAUGGGGGGGAAUCAGUCAGGGCCCAGGGGGGUGGGGGCUUCUCUUGUCCAACACACCUGUAACCGAUGCAUGUGUUUGUGUCCAUCAGUAUUUUGGGGAAUAAUACUCUGCUUGUUUCACUGCGUUACUCCAUUGAAGGACCUGCUUCCGCCACCAAAAUUAGCAUUUCAGCACAAAUUGCUAGUAUAGAGCCUUGAUAUGCUGCUCAGAUAUGGAUACUAAUUUUAAAUCAUUUACUUCAAACAAGUGCUUAAACAUUUGUAUUUGAGAACUUGACAUAUAUGUGCCUUCCUUCUUCGUUUCUUUUGAGCACCAAACUGGAUUGUUUGUUUACCAGGUCAGCCAUGGACCACUGGGGUUGCUACUAACAUGACCAGAUUGUGUAUGCUUUCUCAUCAGGCAAAGUUUUCCAAGGAAAGCUAAAGUAAUAAGAGAAGAAAGAUGGAGCUGCUCAGUAUCAUUCUAAUUGUAGCAUCUCUCCUCCCAUUCUCAGCAUCUGAUCGUCAAGGUUACUCUUACUUACAUGCCCAUUAUAGGUAUCUUUCAUUUUUUUUUAAUUCACUUUCACCAUCACCGCAUAAUCUUCAAUCUCUGACAAGUAACAAAGAAUUAUCUUUUGUUUAAUUAGGUGAUGCCUUGUAUGAUAUGAAGCUGAAACUAAAUGCUAGAGGCAGUCAGCUUUCCGACUGGAACCAAAAUCAAGUUAACCCCUGCACCUGGAGUUUUGUUAUUUGUGACAAUAAUAACAAUGUUGUGCAAGUGUAAGAUUCAGCUUUCGAUGUUUUUCUUCACUCUUAUUUUUUUAAUUUUUGUACUGCUAAUUAGUUACUAAAUAAAUCACUUAGCUAGGAGCUUGAUUGAUUUGGUUUUACGUUUUCUACAUUCAUCACAUUGAGCUCUGAAGGUUUCUAACAACUCCAAUUAUCAGUUGAGAGGCAUUUGCUUAAGCAUGUAAUUAUCAACUUUGAUGCACUUGCAUGUUCAAUCUGCAAUAUUUUAGUGUGCAAGAGUCAUCAUCGAUCUAUAUGAUAGGACCUCCAGUUUGUUCUGAGUUUACCUUCCUGAUGCCCUCCUGCAGAACAUUGACUUCUAUGGGAUUUACUGGAGUUCUGUCACCAAGAAUCGGAGAGCUGGAGUAUUUGAAUGUUCUGUAAGUGCAGUCUUCUAGAUUGAUGAUGCUCCUAAAGAUUUUAGUUUGCUUGCUCUGAUGCAAUAGCUACUGUGCUUACGAUUCUAUAUGGACUAAUUAGGUUGUACUAAUAACUGAUUAUUAGCUAUUUUGUUUACUUGCUAGAUGAAGUAAUGGUUCAAUUAUUAUGUCAUAUCACCAUGAACUCCAGGUUUGUUAAAAGCUGCAGUGUAUGAUAUUGCAGGUCCUUGCCUGGUAACAACAUCACUGGUGGCAUACCAGAGAAGUUUGGUAACCUCUCUCGCUUGACAAGUUUAGAUUUGGAAGACAACCUAUUGGUUGGGCCAAUACCAGCCUCCCUUGGCCAGCUUUCAAAGCUUCAGCUUC
rnacentral:lncRNA from 1 species